rnacentral:rRNA from 1 species
GACAGAGGGUGCAACGUUGUUCGGAAUUACUGGGCGUAAAGCGCGUGUAGGCGGCUCGGCAAGUCGGAUGUGAAAGCCCUGGGCUCAACCUAGGAAGUGCAUUCGAAACUGCGGAGCUUGAGUUCUGGAGAGGUGAGUGGAAUUCCUAGUGUAGAGGUGAAAUUCGUAGAUAUUAGGAAGAACACCAGUGGCGAAGGCGGCUCACUGGCCCGGUACUGACGCUGAGGCGCGAAAGCGUGGGGAGCGAACAGG